CGCGCUCCUCCGGGCAGAGCGCGUGUGGCGGCCGAGCACAUGGGCCCGCGGGCCGGGCGGGCUCGGGGCGGCCGGGACGAGGAGGGGCGACGACGAGCUGCGAGCAAAGAUGUGCCCCGGGACCCCCGGCACCUUCCAGUGGAUUUCCUUGCGGAAAGGAUGUUGGCGGUCCCUGUGACCUGUGGAGACACGGCCAGAUCUGCCCUCCACUGACCAUACUCCCUGGAGCCUUCUCCCGAGGUGCGCGGGUGACCUUGGCACAUACAGCCAUCAUGAUGGUACUUUAAGUGGAGGCUGAAUCAUCUCCCCUUUGAGCUGCUUGGCACGUGGCUCCCUUGGUGUUCCCCUUUUACUGCCAGGACACUGAGAUUUGGAGAGAAUCCUGUUACACCUGGGAUUUAGGCACUUUCAAUCUGAAAAAAUACAUAUCCUUUCAGCACUCUGGACGGACUUGAGAACUGUCCUUACGUGACCUAAAGCUGGAGUAUUUUGAGAUUGGAGAAUUAAGAAGGACAGAAUAACGGGCUCCCAGAUUCACAAGCCCCACCAAGAGGAUCACCCCAGGAACGCUUGGAGGCUGAGGAGUUCACUGAGGCUACUGCAUCUUGAGACUCAGGAUGAAGACCCAGCUUGGGGCUGUCAAAGGUUUUUUGCAUGUCUGACACCCAUGACUCCACCUGGACCUUAUGGCUCCACCCAGAAGCAAUUCAGCCCAACAGGAGGACAGCUUCAACCCAUUACGAUUUCAUCUCUGCCCCAACCACUCAGCAGCAAGCACCUGUUACCUGUCCACCCCCACCCCUUCCCCCAAACUGCCUUUGAAAAAUCCCUAACCUAUGAGCUUUGAAUAAGAUGAGUACGAACUUCAUCGCCCACGUGGCGUGGCCGGCCUCGUGUCUAUUAAAUUCUUUUUCUACUACAA
rnacentral:lncRNA from 1 species